GGUUUCAUAGGUGUGUGCGUAUGUCAAAACUUACGAAACUGUACAUUUUAAAUAUGUGUGUUUAUUGUAUGCCAACUUAUCUCAAUAAAACUGUUAGACACACACACACACACAAAGUCAAUGGCCCCAAAAUCCCCUGUUGAAACUCUCACUGAUAUAAUUUUAUGAUCAUCUUUCUAGACAUUUGCACAACAGAGGUCAUAUUAUACACUCUUCUACAACUUACGCUUUCCAUUCGGACAUUUUUUCAUGCAGGAACACACAAAGCUACCUCAUUCCUUUAAAUGGCUUCCUUGUCAUCCAGUAGGUGAAUGUUUUGUGAUAUUUAAUGUGUCCUCUUUUUGUGGACAUUUAGGUGACUUCCACUUUUUGCUGGAGAAUUUUUUUAAUCAAUACAGUUAUUUCCAGAGUUAUGAGCACCUGACUUAGGAGCCUCCUGCUCACGCAAACAGCCCGUUGCUGGUACUUUCUCUGGUUGUAUCCUCUCUCCUUACCCCCCAGCCAGCAACCAGGCUGUUCUGGCCUACUUGCUCCACCUGGUGGGCAGUGUAGGAAACUGCCAACCUUGAUUAUUUUUUCCACACAAGUGAGUCUCCCUGACUUCUGCCAGCCCUUCUCAACCAUCUGGCCCCUGGAUGCCAGAGAGAACUUUCUAAACACAAAUCUGAUCUUCUCACUCUCCUCAUGAAAACUCACCAUCUAAAAUAAACCUCAAGCCCCUUAUCAGAGCAUACAAAGUAUUAAUACUCUGGUCCUUCCCCAGCUCUCCAGUCUCAAUUUUGGUAACUUCCCUCCUUUGUAGUUCAGUCCAUAACCAAUUGUGUUUCUCUAAACACAUAGCACUGCUUCAUACAUCCAUAUCUUUGUACCUGCCAGUUGUUCUCCCUGGAGUGUCAGUCUGCCCUCUCCUAUUCCAUGUUGGCCUGGUAAACUCCUACUCAGCCUUCAAAACCCUACUUAAGAGUCCCCACUUCUCUGCAGUCUUAUCUGUUCCCUCCCACAUGGAGUUAAUCACUUCUUUCUACCCAUGCCUGGCAUAUACAUCCAAUACCACACCUAUAACAUUUGAUUAUAAUUACCUGUCUAUAUGUUUGUCUCCUGCACUGAAUUAGCUCCCUCACUAAACUUGGUCAUUGUUGUCUCCCAGAAUCUUCCACGGUACCCAAAAAAUAGGAAAGUGAGGCCUAAUAAGCAGACACUGAAAUAAAAUGAACUGCAGUCCCAAGGGAAUGGUGCCGACUGCUUCUUCUUUUUCUCAUGCGUGUAGGGCCUGCCAAAGUUAGGGUGCUGUUGGUCAAGACACAAAGUCGAGAUGCUGAGACCUCUCAAAGGGACUAUCCGCUUUUUAAUCUUUCUCAAAUACAUUGUCCAGUGAUAUCCACCGCUUGGUGAAGGCUGAAGACUAUUUGAACUAUCUUCAACCUGGCAUUCCUCAUUCACUGGUUGGAGAACAAACAACAGUCUGUUUGCUGAAUGAAUUUUCGGGUUUGGUUUGUAGCUUACACCUUGUCCCUUUGGAGACCACAAGGAAACUGUUCCUGCAAAUGGAGUUUCCUGACUUUUUCUUACUUCUCCAGGAGAGAAAUUGUGGGACCAUCAUGACCUUCCUUUGUUUCAUUUGGGAUCUGAAGGAAAAUAUCUCAUCCUUUUGCUCAUUCGUUC
ensembl:lncRNA